rnacentral:rRNA from 1 species
UAAGUGAAGAGUUUGAUCCUGGCUCAGAGUGAACGCUGGCGGUAGGCCUAACACAUGCAAGUCGAACGGCAGCACAGGAGAGCUUGCUCUCUGGGUGGCGAGUGGCGGACGGGUGAGGAAUACAUCGGAAUCUACUCUGUCGUGGGGGAUAACGUAGGGAAACUUACGCUAAUACCGCAUACGACCUACGGGUGAAAGCAGGGGACCUUCGGGCCUUGCGCGAUUGAAUGAGCCGAUGUCGGAUUAGCUAGUUGGCG